GCUCGGGUAGCUCAGUUGGUAGAGCACCUCCUUGGUAAGGAGAAGGUCGGCGGUUCAAAUCCGCUCCCGAGCU
rnacentral:tRNA from 2 species